rnacentral:rRNA from 1 species
AGCGAACGCUGGCGGCAGGCCUAACACAUGCAAGUCGAACGAAGUCUUCGGACUUAGUGGCGGACGGGUGAGUAACACGUGGGAACGUACCUUUUGGUUCGGAACAACUCAGGGAAACUUGAGCUAAUACCGGAUAAGCCCUUCGGGGGAAAGAUUUAUCGCCAUUAGAGCGGCCCGCGUUAGAUUAGCUAGUUGGUGAGGUAAAGGCUUACCAAGGCUACGAUCUAUAGCUGGUCUGAGAGGAUGAUCAGCCACACUGGGACUGAGACACGGCCCAGACUCCUACGGGAGGCAGCAGUGGGGAAUCGUGCGCAAUGGGCGAAAGCCUGACGCAGCCAUGCCGCGUGAAUGAUGAAGGUCUUAGGAUUGUAAAAUUCUUUUACCAGGGACGAUAAUGACGGUACCUGGAGAAAAAGCCCCGGCUAACUUCGUGCCAGCCGCCGCGGUAA